AUUCAGUAGCCUACCAGUGAGUCGUUUGAAUGAUUCAAACGUGGUGCUCCAAAUGCACGUUGGACACUUCGGUUGUGGCUGUGUUUGGAAUAAUUUUCGCAACUUUAACUACAACAAAUAAACCGAAGGAUGCAAUUGACUGUAUGGCUGACAAUAUAUAUGAGAUCAACUUCUGGAACAUCUGGUGCUAUUUGGAAACAUCAUGAGGGAUUCAUUGGUUUUCCAAUGCAGUUGUCAUGCAGUUGACUUCAAGAAGGAUCAAGACAGGCCUACAGAUGGAUUGGAGGCUUUUCUUGAGGUGUUAAAUAGCCUGGCUGAUGUGAUGUGGCCUGUGGCACGUGCGUUUGCCCCGCUCGGAGACCGCAGUGCAGAGGACCAGCCGUCAGCCACGCACAACUUUAAACCCGUUUCCAGGCAACCAACAUGCCUACAAAUCGACGGCAACUUCCCUCGACAAGUCCCUUUGUUAGUGCAGUCACGAUUGUAGAGGAAGGGCUGAAGAGUGAAAAAACAAAAAAACAAUAAAAAAAAAACGUGAAACAUUCAAUUCUUUUGUGACGUCUGAAAGUCGAAAGCUGCAUUGGCAGAAGAUGAGUCAUCAUAUGAGAGUGUUAUAAGUGAAACUAUCAGGAUGCAUUCAAACAUCGGCUAUAAUGGUGACUUUUGACAGCAUGGAGACGUUUCUGAAGAGUAAUUGACUGAAAAAAAUGAAGUGCUGUUAUUCACACUUUUGGUGUUCGGUAUGCAUCAUUACGUGGCAUCGUAAACAUAGUUAAAAUGAUGUGCAUACUGUUUUUCCAAGUCAUAAAAUAGAUUUGUGUGAUGAACAAAGCACCGUUUUAGUUUUUAUUUACUGAAAACCUGCUUUUCAAGGAAGCUAUUAGCAGCUAAGACAGAGUCAUUUCAGUCGGUUAAAGUUGACAGCUGAAUCACUCUUAUGAAUGAAUGAUUCGUUUUUUUCAAUGAAGCAGUUAAUCCGAUUUACAUAGAAAAAAAGAAAAGCCUCAUUCAUAAAUUGGACAUGGCUGCAUUGCAUCAAGGUUUUCAGCUUUUUUUGCUUUUUUGCACGUUUACUGUACAUGACCUGUUAACACUCAGAACAAUGCUGUUUUAAAAUAAAUCAGAGAAAGGAUGAUUGAAUGUAAAUAAAUAAAAAAAACACACAACGUUUAAAUUUAAC
rnacentral:lncRNA from 1 species